CUCAGCCCCGUCCCGAGGGCGCGCGGGGCCUGGCCGCUCCGGGCCUCCUGGAGGAGCGGUUCCACCAGCUGCACCUCCGGAAGCAGGUGUCCUACAGGUAACUCAUAUUGAGCAGGCUUGGAAACCACUGGUUUCACCUGAGAAGACGCCAAAGGGAGAGAAAAGAAUUCUGGACAGAGGAAAGGACCCUGGGAGCCAAAGGCUGGGCAGGGCAGUGUCCGGAGGCAGCCAGGCCAGCGGGAGGCGCACAUGCAAGGACCAGGAUCCCAGAGGCAGCUUCAACGACCUCAUGGGACACAAGGGGCUUGUGAUAGACCCCGAGCUCCGUCCUCCACCCUGCGUGAGCCCUGCGGGUGUCCAGAAGGGGAGCUGGGAGGGCCAGCUGGAACAGGUGUUUGCAGUCCCUGGGGUGUGCUGGGGGUGGGGGUCGUCCAGUCGGAGUCAGAAAAUUUAAGAGAUUUGCUAGGACCACACAGACCAGAAGCAGGAGGAUCGCCACAAAUUGAAGGUCAGCCUGGACUACAUAGAGAGUUCAAAGCCAGACCGAACUGCAGAUUGAGACCCUGUCUCAAAAAACGAAACAGGGCCAGGGAUUUUGCUCAGUGGUUCCACUGCCUGCCUCACAACCGAAAGGUCCUGAGUUCGAUCCCUGGUACCAAAAAAAAGAAGAAAGAAACAAACAAAAACAGAUUCUCAAUUCCAGAGCUGGAAGUGAAGCUCAGUAGCAGCAGCCUUGCCUAGCAUGCCCAAGACCCUGAGUUCAAUUCCUAGCACCACAUGCACACACAAAACUAGAAAGCUUAGCAGCUUCAUGCCUCAGUUUCCCCGUGUAAAAGGAGGAAAAUAACAACCUCUACCUCCUGGGGUUACUGAAGGGUUUGAUGAGCUAAUUAUGCAUUCAGUAAAGAGCUGGUACAGAAGUAUCUAAGAAAUAUUAAGUAUUGUUUAUUGUGACUGAGUAUUAAUUAUUCAUCACACAGCAUGCAUUUAUGAAACAAGCUACUGAGAAGCACUCUGUUCCAGUCACAUGGUUCACAAAGGUGAUUCUGCAGCAGAUGGAGGCUUCCAAGGGUCGGAGGAGGG
rnacentral:lncRNA from 1 species